AGAGUUAUAGUUUACUUAAAACAUUUAGCUUGCAACUAAAAGAUACAACUGUUAACCCUA
rnacentral:tRNA from 1 species